UACGAACUGUGCGAACGUUAUUCGGAAUCACUGGGCUUAAAGGGUGCGUAGGCGGCGCUCCAAGUCAGGUGUGAAAUCCCCCGGCUCAACCGGGGAACAGCGCUUGAAACUAGAGUGCUCGAGCGAGGCAGGGGUGUGUGGAACUUCCGGUGGAGCGGUGAAAUGUGUAGAGAUCGGAAGGAACGCCGGCGGCGAAAGCGGCACACUGGGUCUUGACUGACGCUGAGGCACGAAAGCCAGGGGAGUGAACGGG
rnacentral:rRNA from 1 species